AUCUUUGCGCUUGGGGCAAUGACGCAGCUAGUGAGGUAAUACCGAGGCGCGUCAAUUGCUGGUUGAAAACUAUUUCCAAACCCCCUCUGCGGCCCACCCGGGCCACACAGAAUUUCUGGAAGGGCUCCCUCUUACGAGGGUAAAGCC
rnacentral:snRNA from 1 species